GAUGAACGCUGGCGGCGUGCCUAAUACAUGCAAGUCGAGCGAACGGACGAGAAACUUGCUUCUCUGAUGUUAGCGGCGGACGGGUGAGUAACACGUGGAUAACCUACCUAUAAGACUGGGAUAACUUCGGGAAACCGGAGCUAAUACCGGAUAAUAUUUUAAACCGCAUGGUUCAAAAGUGAAAGACGGUCUUGCUGUCACUUAUAGAUGGAUCCGCGCUGCAUUAGCUAGUUGGUAAGGUAACGGCUUACCAAGGCAACGAUGCAUAGCCGACCUGAGAGGGUGAUCGGCCACACUGGAACUGAGACACGGUCCAGACUCCUACGGGAGGCAGCAGUAGGGAAUCUUCCGCAAUGGGCGAAAGCCUGACGGAGCAACGCCGCGUGAGUGAUGAAGGUCUUCGGAUCGUAAAACUCUGUUAUUAGGGAAGAACAUAUGUGUAAGUAACUGUGCACAUCUUGACGGUACCUAAUCAGAAAGCCACGGCUAACUACGUG
rnacentral:rRNA from 1 species